rfam:Hordeum vulgare subsp. vulgare, WGS project CAJW01000000 data, contig: morex_contig_1565644
CAUAUACUCCCUCCAUCCCGAAAUUCUUGUCUUAGAUUUAAACAGAUAUAGAUGUAUCUAACACUAAAACACAACAAGAUACAUCCGUAUUUAAACAAAUCGAAGACAAGAAUUUUGGGACGGAGGGAGUACUUA